GUGGGGAAUCUUCCACAAUGGACGAAAGUCUGAUGGAGCAACGCCGCGUGAGUGAAGAAGGGUUUCGGCUCGUAAAGCUCUGUUGUCGGGGACGAAUGUGCAGUAUUUGAAUAAAGUACUGCAAUGACGGUACCUGACGAGGAAGCCACGGCUAACUACGUGCCAGCAGCCGCGGUAAUACGUAGGUGGCAAGCGUUGUCCGGAAUUAUUGGGCGUAAAGGGAGCGCAGGCGGGAAGGUAAGUCGGUCUUAAAAGUGCGGGGCUCAACCCCGUGAUGGGAUCGAAACUAUCUUUCUUGAGUGCAGGAGAGGAAAGUGGAAUUCCUAGUGUAGCGGUGAAAUGCGUAGAUAUUAGGAGGAACACCAGUGGCGAAGGCGACUUUCUGGACUGUAACUGACGCUGAGGCUCGAAAGCCAUGGGAGCGAACGGGAUUAGAUACCCUUGUAGUCC
rnacentral:rRNA from 1 species